rnacentral:rRNA from 1 species
UACGUAGGGGGCAAGCGUUGUCCGGAUUUAUUGGGCGUAAAGAGCGUGUAGGCGGCCAAGCAGGUCCGCUGUGAAAACUCGAGGCUCAACCUCGAGACGUCGGUGGAAACCGUUUGGCUAGAGUCCGGAAGAGGAGAGUGGAAUUCCCGGUGUAGCGGUGAAAUGCGCAGAUAUCGGGAAGAACACCCGUGGCGAAGGCGGCUCUCUAGUACGGUACUGACGCUGAGACGCGAAAGCGUGGGGAGCGAACAGG